GUGCUCACUACAGCAGCACAUAUACUAAAAUUGGAACAAUACAGAGAAGGUUAGCAUGGCCCCUGAACAAGGAUGACAUGCAAAUUCAUGAAGUGUUCCAUAUUUUU
ensembl:snRNA U6 U6 spliceosomal RNA